GUUCAUCUUAAUUAAAGCUCCAAAAAGGGAGUGGCCUUGAACAGAACCAGUGGAAGCACAGUUGACAUAAGCACCUCCCUGAAGAGCAUCACUAUUACAACUCUGCAAUCCAGAUGAAUAAAUAUAAUUUAUUUCCCAUAGAUAGUGGAAAACUUGGGCUAUCUAACUAUCAAUUAGAUAAAUACCUCUUUGGCCCCUGAAGAAAAUAUCUUAGGUAUCUUCAUGUCUCAUAGGCCCAUGAUCACCAGUCUUCAGGAAUUAAGCCUCACCAAAGCCACCUAGUAUAUGUUAGCAUGUUGGAAGUCUUUUUUUUUUUUUUUGCAUGUUGGAAGUCUGUGUCCAUUUAAACCUUUUAAGGAAUAGCUACUGAUUUGCUGAAAGCAAGAUAAAAUGGAAAUGUUGCAGGAGCAAGAGGUGGUAUCUACAGAGACAAUACUUGAUAUAAGAGAAAGAAACAGAGGGAAAUAUAAUGUGUCUUGACAAAGACAAAUUUCUACUUGGCAUAAUUUUCUAUAUGAUUUCUCCUAAUGGAGAAUUAAGGGUAAGUGGAGGCCAGAAGUCUAACUAUAAUCUUUCUUACAAACAAAAACCCAGAGUCGAUAUAUAGCUCAUAGAAAGUAGGAGAGUGGUUUAGGUGAUUUGUCUACCUACAUUAAUUUGUCCUCAGGUCAUCUAAAUUGUGGAGAUAUGAGUAGUCACCAUUGACCAAAUUAGCACUAGACUUCUGUGUAACCCAGAUAAACAUAGGUUAAAGAUCCCUGUCUCUCAAUCAUUGAAAAAAAAAAACAAAAGACACACUUUGCAGCAGUUGUGAGCCUUUCCCCACCCCCACCCCGGCGCCCAUGGCUGCGGCCUCUCGGGGCCGGACCUCGCCGGCUGCCCACUCUCCUGGCCCAGCUCUGCGGAGCCUACGCGAAGCCCCCGCCCAGCCAGCCGGGCCGCGGAGCCUUUGGACGUCGGGUGUGGUGGGGUGAGAAGAAUGGCGGCCGCUCAGAUGCCGGGCCGGCCCUUGGGGCCUCCGAGGGCCUGAGAAGGCGGGUCUCCGUGGACGUAAGCUCGGCCGCCCUCGGGCUUUGGCGCCCCAUGACUACUCCGUCCCAGGUGGACGAAACCUCACCUACGGCGAACAGUGGACAGAGGCCCUAACGGCCGGAAG
rnacentral:lncRNA from 1 species